rnacentral:rRNA from 1 species
AUUGAACGCUGGCGGCAGGCUUAACACAUGCAAGUCGAGCGGGGUGAUGGUGCUUGCACUAUCACUUAGCGGCGGACGGGUGAGUAAUGCUUAGGAAUCUGCCUAUUAGUGGGGGACAACAUCUCGAAAGGGAUGCUAAUACCGCAUACGUCCUACGGGAGAAAGCAGGGGAUCACUUGUGACCUUGCGCUAAUAGAUGAGCCUAAGUCGGAUUAGCUAGUUGGUGGGGUAAAGGCCUACCAAGGCGACGAUCUGUAGCGGGUCUGAGAGGAGGAUCAGCCACACUGGGACGGAGAGACGGCCCAGACUCCGACGGGAGGCAGCAGUGGGGAAUAUUGGACAAUGGGGGAAACCCUGAUCCAGCCAUGCCGCGUGUGUGAAGAAGGCCUUAUGGUUGUAAAGCACUUUAAGCGAGGAGGAGGCUCUUUUGGUUAAUACCCAAGAUGAGUGGACGUUACUCGCAGAAUAAGCACCGGCUAACUCUGUGCCAGCCGCCGCAGUAA